AUUGAACGCUGGCGGCAGGCCUAACACAUGCAAGUCGAGCGGAGCUUCGGACGGGUGAGUAAUGCCGGGUGAUCUGCCUGUUAGUGAGGGAUAACGUCCGGAGACGGGAGCUAAUACCACAUACUUUCAGGUCACCUUAGGGCGGAUUAGCUAGUUGGUGGGGUAAAGGCCUACCAAGGCGACGAUCCGUAACUGGGCUGAGAGGAUGAUCAGUCACACUGGAACUGAGACACGGCCCAGACUCCUACGGGAGGCAGCAGUGGGGAAUAUUGGACAAUGGGCGAAAGCCUGAUCCAGCCAUGCCGCGUGUGUGAAGAAGGUCUUCGGAUUGUAAAGCACUUUAAGUUGGGAGGCGGUACCAAAAGAAUAAGCACCGGCUAACUUCGUGCCAGCAGCCGCGGUAAUAC
rnacentral:rRNA from 1 species